rnacentral:rRNA from 1 species
GACGAACCGAGCGAACGUUGUUCGGAAUAACUGGGCUUAAAGGGCGCGUAGGCGGGCUGUCAAGUCUGGGGUGAAAUCCCGCGGCUCAACCGCGGAACUGCCUCGAGAUACUGACGGCCUCGAGGGAGAUAGGGGCGAGCGGAACGAAUGGUGGAGCGGUGAAAUGCGUUGAUAUCAUUCGGAACUCCGGUGGCGAAGGCGGCUCGCUGGAUCUCUUCUGACGCUGAGGCGCGAAAGCUAGGGGAGCAAACGGG